rnacentral:rRNA from 1 species
AUGAACCAGCCGGGGAAGUCCAUGUCGCCGACGACGUCAAUCCCGCCGUGGUCCGAACUUCCCCAGGAGCUCCUAGGCCUCAUCAUCGACCGCCUCCCUGGCUCCUCCGGUGACCGCGGUCUGCUAUCCGCGGCGUGGUCUAAGGUUCGGCGGUUUCUUCUCUCCAUGGCCUCUACCCGCGCCCAGUUCCGGGAGGCGUGCCGUCCUUCUCGGCACUCGGCCUCGGCUGACUGCGCUCGGUUCCGGGCGGUGUGUCGUUCAUGGAAGACGGCGCUACGCGAGCACAUGCGGGUUCCGGCGCCUCGGCAGGUGCCCUGGAUCGUAUUGUCGGAUGGCUACUUGUUGACGCCCGACGGCACCGAUCCCUUGUAUCGGCUGCCCUCUUUGCCCGAGGAUGCGACGUGCAUCGGCUCCACGGAUGAAUGGCUCGCCAUCGACCGCAUCGGCCCCGGGAACCAGCAUAGUUACUUCAUGCACAAUCCUUUCUCCGGCACGACUGUGCCGCUCCACGAGCUGCGGAAUAUCAUCCGCGAGCGUUCCAAGUUUUUCAAGAUCCACAAGGUGCUCAUGCGGUCGACCCCUGAUGACGUCAUCGCCGUCCUGACCAACAACUGGAAUUACCCACUCAUCUUAAUCCGGCCGGGAAAAGGGGCGUGGACACCCAAGCCACGAACGCCUCCCUAUGUGUACAUCAUCGACAUUGCCUUUCUCGGAGAUGAACUUUAUGGCAUCACCCAGGCCUAUGACCUUGUCUCCCUCGCUAUCGCCUUCGACAGCAACGGGAUACCCAGUGUUGCUGGCAUUGACCGUCUCAUCUGGCAUACACCAAUGGAUUAUCAUUUUCAUGUGUGGGACGAUGAUGAAGAAGACGGCGAGUAUGAGCGCAAGAUGGCCACGAAUCCUGAGGCGAGUGAAGAUGAUGAUGACAAGCGUGCCGUUUACGAACUGAUGAAGAGCACUGGAGAUAGCAUGAUUAUGGACGCGGUACAUUGGUGGGACGAUGAGGAGGUGCCCCACGAACCCAAGGAUCUCGUCACCGUAAGCUGGCACUUCGUGGAGUCGCGUGGAAAGCUACUCCUGGUGAUGCGGCAAUUGCAAAUACCCGAAUAUACCAUGAAAUUCACUCGCAAGGUUCAAGUAUUCGAAGCGAAGGUCAAUGCAGGCGGGUGGGUGCCAGUUACUAGUGGGCUCGAUGGUCAGGCACUUUUUAUCAGCAGGCCCUUUUGCAAAUCCAUUCCUGCUCAUGGGGAAAUAGAAGCGGAUGUUAUCCAUUUUGUUGACACAGGCGAUAUGUUCAACAUGAGAUCUCAAACCAUGGGCCCACCAACGAGGGGCAUUUAUGAUCGUUCCUCGACUUGGAUAUUUUUCUCAGAGCUGGUGGUUUAA